UUUUAUGGGUGUGGGGUAUGUUUUGGGGGAAAAGGGAUGAAUAGUGGGUUGAGAGCUUUUGGGAUAUUUUAAAGUUUUUUAUUUUUAUUUUUUAAAGUGAGUAUUUAGUACAUUAACAAAGUAUUUUUUUAUUCUACAAGUAGUUUUAAAAAAUUAAUAUGUCAUCUCUUUCUUUUUAAAUAUUUUACUAUACCCUAAUAAGAUAUUUGUCAACCCCUUAAUCCUACAU
rnacentral:lncRNA from 1 species